UUUUCCGCAAUGGGCGCAAGCCUGACGGAGCAACGCCGCGUGCGGGAUGACGCGCUUCGGCGUGUAAACCGCUGUUCGGGGGGACGAAGCACUAACGGUACCCCCGGAGGAAGGCCCGGCUAACUACGUGCCAGCAGCCGCGGUAAUACGUAGGGGUCGGGCGUUGUCCGGAGUUACUGGGCGUAAAGCGUGCGCAGGCGGCGGCCUGCGCCCGGCGUGAAAGCCCCCGGCUCAACCGGGGAGGGUCGUCGGGGACGGGGCCGCUUGAGGAUCGCAGGGGCUGGUGGAAUUCCCGGUGUAGUGGUGAAAUGCGUAGAGAUCGGGAGGAACACCCGUGGCGAAGGCGGCCAGCUGGGCGAUACCUGACGCUGAGGCACGAAGGCGUGGGGAGCGAAC
rnacentral:rRNA from 1 species